UUUUGACCGAUCUUAAAAUAAUCAUUCGUUUUCUACCGUUACUUUUGAUGAUCCUCAAAUAAUCUUGCUAAUGGCUAACGUACUAUAUCUCUCCUCCUUUAUCCAAACUUAUGAUUGAAUAUACUUUUAUGAAACUCGCAUAAGAGGAGUUGGAAGUAACCAAAAUCAGACAAAAAGAGGAAAAAUAAAAUAACAGCAAAAGGUUAGGCACUAGAGAAAAUUGUCCAAUUACUUUGAAAAAUUGUGCUCUCUGUACCCUAUCCUCUCUGUUUUCAAAGUAUUUGGUGCUCAAGAAUCAAGAAAGAUCCUAGCUUUCUCAUUUUCCUCUAACCAAGGAGAAUAGCAUGUCAACAAUGGCUUUGCAGAGUAGUGGUUACCUCACAAAUUCUUUCUCUAAAAUGGAAGUCUCUCCGGGCAUCAAAACAUUUCUGCUUCCUGGAUAAUGUCAUUGAAUCCCAAUUCCUCAGGCAUGGGGAAGAAAGAAGUGUGUAGAGAAUUUCAGCGAUACCCGAUUCUACAAUCUGAGACUGAAACAGCAUACACAUUAAAUCUCCAUUUUGAUCGAUUGCAACUGUCGGAUGAACAAUUGUUAGAUCAGGAAAAUCGACUCGAGUUUGGUCAGUUCAUGGCACAUGAAGCAGUGCUUGAUGAAUAAUAUUGGUUAUGUGUUAGUAUGCCUUUCAGACGGCUGUUGUUGGAGAAUGAAAGCGUCAUGUUGGAAAAAAAUCGAUAUAUUCAAAGUUAGAUAUUUCAAUAGUGAACAUUCAUGUGCACUGAGAGAUAGAAUUUUCAACAAAGUUCAUGCUACAAAGGCUUUUGUUAGUGCAUUCACAGCACCUAAAUUGGUUAAUCAUAAGAGAAUUGUCACCCCUAAUGAUAUACGAGAGGAUAGUAAAUCAGCGUAUGGAAUUGAUAUUACCUAUCAACAGGCAUGGCGUUCAAAAGAGCAUGCUUUGGAGAUGGUAAGGGGAAAACCUACUGAUGGAUAUAGACAGCUGCCUGUAUACAUACAUAUUCUAAAAACCGUAUAUCCAAAUUCGUACAUAAGUAUGCACAAGUCAUCAACUGAUGAGUUCAUGUAUUUGUUCAUAGCGUUAAGGCCCUUGAUGAGGGGGUUACAGUUUUGUCGACCAGUAGUUGUUGUUGACGGUACACAUCUUGAUGGACCUUAUAAAGGGACGUUUGUAUCAGCUAGCACACUUGAUGGGGAAGGUUGCAUAUUGCCGUUGGCGUAUGGUAUUGUUGAUACAGAAAAUGAUGCAUCAUGGACGUGGAUUUUUCAAAAUUUCAAGAAUGCAUUUAGUGAGAGGGACAAUAUGUGUGUUGUAUCAGAUAGGAACGAAAGCAUAAUCAAGAGUGUAAGCAUGGUAUUUCCCAAUGUUCCUCAUUUUGCAUGCAUAUGGCAUAUAUGAAAAAAUGUGUGUACUAAAUACAGAAGAAGCAAAGUUGUACUAAGUGACAUAUUCUAUUCAAUGGCAAAGGCAUACCGAAAAGAUGAAGUCGAUAAAUUAAUGUCCAAAGCUGAGAGAAUCGAUCAACGGGUGGCACAAUAUUUAAAAAAUGCAGGAUACAAAAAGUGGUCAAGGGUUCAUGCCACUGUCAACAGGGGUAGAAUGAUGACUUCUAACAUCGUAGAAUAUAUCAAUGGAUGUCUUGUUGAAGCACGAGAGCUGCCUAUAAUUGACUUUUUGGAGCAAACGAGAAUUUUAUUUGGUUCUUGAAACUGCAAAAUAGGGAAAUAUCAUCUUAUAUAAAACAUACUUUGGGUAGAAAAUUCGAAGAUAUCCUAGUUUCAAACACGAUCAAGUGUUCGAGAAUGAAGGUUGUUGCUUCAUCAGACUAUCUUUAUUCUGUUUACGAAUUAGGUAUAAGAUACACUGUGUGUCUAGAGAGAAAAACAUGCACUUGUGGUAGAUUUCAACUAGACGAGACACCAUGUCCACAUGUAAUUGCAGUGUUGAAGAGCAAAAACAUUACUGACCUACACCCAUACUGUUCUAAUUACUACAAACCAGAGGCGUUGGCAAAUACUUAUGAAUUACCAAUGGUUCCAAUGCCAGAUAAGAAAGACUGGACUGCUCCGAAGGAAAUUUUGGAAGAAUUUGUCUUGCUGCCAAUAUACAAAAGGAUGUCAGGAAGACCAAAGAAAGGGAGAAAAAAGUUCGCUAGUGAGAAGAUAACAAGUAGCACAAAUGCUUGUGGACGUUGUGGCCACGAAGGCCACAAUAGAAAGACUUGUAAAUUCAUUCCUAAAUAGAUAUGAUGUUUGUGGUAUCUCGGUAUACAUUCUAUUUGAAUCAUAUAAUAACAUCUAUUUUUAUAUUUUAUAUUUGAGU